rnacentral:rRNA from 1 species
AGAGUUUGAUCCUGGCUCAGAAUGAACGCUGGCGGCGUGCUUAACACAUGCAAGUCGAACGAGAAAUUUCCUGCUUGCAGGAGAGAGUAAAGUGGCGCACGGGUGAGUAACACGUGGAUAAUCUACCUUAGGUUCUGGAACAACAUUGCGAAAGCGAUGCUAAUACCGGAUGAGGUCUGUUUUACCUUGGUUUAACAGAUGAAAGGGUGCCUCUAUUUAUAAGCAUCUGACUUAAGAUGAGUCCGCGUACCAUUAGCUUGUUGGUGGGGUAAUGGCCUACCAAGGCAUCGAUGGUUAGCUGGUCUGAGAGGAUGAUCAGCCACACUGGAACUGACACACGGUCCAGACUCCUACGGGAGGCAGCAGUGAGGAAUUUUGCGCAAUGGGCGAAAGCCUGACGCAGCAACGCCGCGUGAGUGAAGAAGGCUCUUGGGUCGUAAAGCUCUGUCGGUGGGGAAGAACGGAUUAUACGUUAAUAGCGUGUAGUUUUGACGGUACCCACAAAGGAAGCACCGGCUAACUCCGUGCCAGCAGCCGCGGUAAUACGGGGGUGCAAGCGUUAUUCGGAAUUAUUGGGCGUAAAGCGAGUGCAGGCGGUAUUAUAAGUCAGAUGUGAAAGCCCGGGGCUCAACCCCGGAAGUGCAUUUGAAACUGUAAUACUUGAGUAUGGGAGAGGAAAGUGGAAUUCCUGGUGUAGAGGUGAAAUUCGUAGAUAUCAGGAGGAACACCAGUGGCGAAGGCGACUUUCUGGACCAAUACUGACGCUCAGACUCGAAGGCGUGGGGAGCGAACAGGAUUAGAUACCCUGGUAGUCCACGCCGUAAACGAUGGGUACUAGGUGUCGCGGGUAUUGCCCCCUGCUGUGCCGAAGUUAACGCAUUAAGUUCUCCGCCUGGGGAGUACGGCCGCAAGGCUAAAACUCAAAGGAAUUGACGGGGGCCCGCACAAGCGGUGGAGCAUGUGGUUUAAUUCGACGCAACGCGAAGAACCUUACCUGGGCUUGACAUCCUGGGAAUCUUUACGAAAGCAGAUUUUUCCGGCUUGCCGGAACAGAGUGACAGGUGCUGCAUGGCUGUCGUCAGCUCGUGUCGUGAGAUGUUGGGUUAAGUCCCGCAACGAGCGCAACCCUUGUCUUUAGUUGCCAGUAUUAAGUUAGGAACUCUAAAGAGACUGCCUCGGUUAACGGGGAGGAAGGUGGGGAUGACGUCAAGUCCUCAUGGCCCUUAUGUCCAGGGCUACACACGUGCUACAAUGGGCUGCACAAAGGGUUGCGAACCCGCGAGGGGAAGCUAAUCCCAAAAAGCAGUUCUCAGUUCGGAUUGGAGUCUGCAACUCGACUUCAUGAAGGUGGAAUCGCUAGUAAUCGUGGAUCAGCAUGCCACGGUGAAUACGUUCCCGGGCCUUGUACACACCGCCCGUCACACCACGAAAGUCGACUGUACCAGAAGUUGCUGGGCUAACCUUUUCGGAGGAAGCAGGUACCUAAGGUACGGCCGGUAAUUGGGGUGAAGUCGUAACAAGGUA